GUGCCAGCAGCCGCGGUAAUACGGAGGGUGCAAGCGUUGUCCGGAUUUAUUGGGUUUAAAGGGUGCGUAGGCGGCCCGUUAAGUCCGCGGUGACAUCCCAGGGCUCAACCCUGGAACUGCCGUUGAUACUGGCGGGCUUGAGUUCGGUCGAGGCGGGCGGAACUGGUGGUGUAGCGGUGAAAUGCUUAGAUACCACCAAGAACCCCGAUUGCGUAGGCAGCUCGCUUGGCCGAAACUGACGCUGAGGCACAAAAGCGUGGGGAGCGAACAGGAUUAGAAACCCUUGUAGUCC
rnacentral:rRNA from 1 species